rnacentral:rRNA from 1 species
UACGUAGGGAGCAAGCGUUGUCCGGAAUCAUUGGGCGUAAAGCGCGCGUAGGUGGCUUCGUAAGUCCGUUGUGAAAGUCAAAGGCUCAACCUUUGAAAGCCGAUGGAUACUGCGGAGCUAGAGUACGGAAGAGGCGAGUGGAAUUCCUGGUGUAGCGGUGGAAUGCGCAGAUAUCAGGAGGAACACCCAAUAGCGAAGGCAGCUCGCUGGACGUUACUGACACUGAGGCGCGAAAGCGUGGGAGCGAACGG